ensembl:lncRNA
GCUCCUCUGUCCAUGGAGACUAGCUUUCCCCGAAUCAAAGCCCACAUUGAAUUGAGGACUUGUAAAGAUGUCGAUGGACUUGCUCCUUGACUAAAGUCAAUUGGAUCUAGACCUUAAGGACACCAGAGUGGAUGCUGAUUUCCAUUAAGAAAAGUGAGGAGAAAUGCUUACAGAAAUGGUACCACCUCCCUCCAAAUCCAUAUCCCCCUCCCUCCCUGCCCUCCAGCUCCUCUAUUCACCUAGCAAUCACCUGAAAGGAAGAGCUUCCUGAGCUGCCAGGGUCCUUUAGAGAGAAGGUAAUUGUCCUCUCUCCAAAGAUUACCCCUCUGUUUGAAAAGCAAAUCCCACUGUCACCCCCUCUGCAGAGUCAUGCCACUAUUUUUAGUGUAUGUCCUUGUGCUUUUGGGUGAUGAGUCAGGACUCUUUUUUAAAAUAUUAAAUACUUGGCAUUCCUCAGAAAAAGAUAGACACAUUUAAUGUUGCUACUGUUUCAAUCACCAAGUAAAGAUUUGCUCCUUUUCUUAGCUGCCUUCAGCCCCACAGAGCUGUUUGGGCUGCAUCCCCCACCACCCCCAUGCUACUGCUCAUUUCAAAAGCAAAAAGCCAAAGCAGAUGCGAGGGAGACGCACUGGUGCUCAAAAAUUCAAGGAGCUAAAAUAGCAACAGCUGUGGCAAUUGCAGGAUUUCAGCAGGUUAGAACAGCACUCAGGGACCAGAGAAGCACAUGAGGCAUAGAAAGGAGGAUUUUGGAGAAGAUCCCCCUGUGUUACCAAGUUUUUCAUUGUCUAUAUUUAAUGAUGUUGUGACAUCUUGGGGGCCUUGAGAACCCGGGGAGAGACCACCCUUCCAGAGCUAGCUAAUUCUUUGAGAUAACAAACACCUUGUCUGUGAGCACAACUCUCAUAUACAAAUCAACCAAUCCAAAGGGCACGUCCCCAACCACCUCCUUUAUCAAAUGCUCACACAGCAAGCCAAUAUUUUCCCUGCCUCAUAUCAUCCUGGGGCCUGGGAAUGGACAACUAAAGAGCAUCCUCAUAGCCCAGAGCCUGUCCAGUCCUAACCCGCUCAACCUUGCCAACCCUGCCUCUCCCAUCCCUUGCUGCAGAGACCACAGUAGAGGCCCAGGCUGUGCUUUUCUGUUACUCCUGCUGCCCGAAUGACUCAGGUGCGUCCCCUGGUGGUCACAGCAUUCCCUUUCCUCUUGGGAACUGUAAUAAACUCUUCUUUCAAGUCAAUUGCCUCUGUGUCUGUCAUCUUUUUAUACCUGAUUAAAACAAAUCCCAGAGACACUUUAGGACAUUCCCAUAACCACAAACAACAGGACUGAGGAAUAGCAUGUGAAAAAGGAAAAAAUACUCUCAAAAUUGAAGUAAAAAUGUGGGAAGAGGAAAACCUUUGAAUACAGUAGGUUGAUAUAAUUUAUUACUCAUUUUAUCUCUAGUUGCAUUUGAAAAGAAGUUACCUAAAUCUAAGUAUAGGCUUCCCAGGUGGCUCAGUGGUAAAGAAUCUGACUUCCACGCAGGAGACGUGGGUUCAAUCCCUGGGUCUGGUAAGAUCCCCUGGGAAUGGCAACCCAUUCCAGUAUUUUUGCCUCAGAAAUCCCAUGGACAGAGGAGCCUGGUGGGCUACAGUCUAUGGGGUUGCANNNNNNNNNNNNNNNNNNNNNNNNNNNNNNNNNNNNNNNNNNNNNNNNNNNNNNNNNNNNNNNNNNNNNNNNNNNNNNNNNNGGAAUUCUAUGGAAAUAAAUAUCCAUUUGCUGUAGGAUACUUGGCGGAGUUUUAAAAUUAUGGACAGAAUUCAUUUUAGCAGAAAUAAUCUCCAAUGUAAUCUUUCACAAUUCAACAUUUAAUCUCACCAAAACAUGUUCAAACUUGGACCAAUCUUUUUUUGUAUUUUCUUUUAUUUUUGAGAGCUUUUAAGUAGUUUUUCUUGAUUUUACUGCCAAAUUUUCAAACACCAGCCCUUGGGUUAGAGGUCACAUGCCCAUGUGUAAAAUUAAGCAUCAAAAUAAAAGCCUAAUUAUAAUGGCUUUUUGGAAUAAAGAAUGAAGAGGGCAGCCAUGGUGAGGAAAAGCUGGACCUGUGAGAAACUGCAGGGCACACACACACACAAGGAAACAGCAUCAGCAGUGAACAUUCCAAGGACAGGAUGGAAAAUGCAGCCACCAGAGUGUAUCCUGCACAGAGAUGCUGUCUGUGUACUGAAAGGAGGAGGAAACAAUUUAUAGACCAAGAAAGACCUGGACAGAAUUAUCCAUUUUGGGAGGAAUCAUUUUUGCUGAAGCAAUGAAGACUUUCUAGAGAGCUAUUUGAGGAGGCAGAUGUUUAGAUAAUAUAUUGCUGCUUUGCAUUUCUAUAACACCUUUCAUCUAAGAGCUGCAGAGUGUAACACAAACAUUAACUAAUAAAUUAAGCCUCGUGGCACCUCUGCAUGAUCCAUAGACAUAACAGCCAUUUUCACAGCAUCCAGAAAGGCAGUGCCCUGCUCAAAGGUGCUGAAGUCAUUUGCCAAGGUCACGAAGGGGAGAAAACAGCAACUCCUUCACAGUGAGUGUCAGUUUAUCCGCACCCUCCCCACAGGGAGCUUUUUCUCACUUGGCAGGUUAGCAACUUCAAGAGCAUGUUUUCUUCUCUGGGACACUUAGUGGUAAUGGAAAGAGCACAAGGUCUACCCCGGUUUCCAGUGAUUCCCUUCAGGAGAUAGCUCUUUAAUUGAACCGGGAGAUGAUUUGAAAAUCUUACGUCUUGGAUCAAAGCCUUAACUCCUUUCUCUCCGGUUUACCCAGGAAUUAAUUUGUGUGCUUAUGCUGGUCUCUUUCCUGGAAUGACACUAGCUUUUAGCUCUGGAGUUACUUUUCAUGUGAUUUAAUCCGAUUACCCAAAGGACUUAAACUAUUACAAGAAUAUCAAACAACCCCAACAUCUACUUUGGCAUUCAUAUAAUUAUUGAUAUUUUUCUGUUAUUUUAAUUUCUGAAAGCCCAUAAAAUUGUCACUGAAAACCAAAAUGUGACAUUGUGACAGAAGACAGUUUCAACUCUUACCAGAAUCUAACUGGCUUGUCAGUAAAAUUUGUUUUACUUUGGUCAGGCAUCACUGUAUCUUCCUAAAUGCUAGUCCUCUCCUUUGGCUCAUCAACAACCUGCUCCACAGUGGUAUGACAUUUUUCCUCUUUCUCUCUGAUAGCCCACAAAAUUUCAUCAGUAGAAUAAUCAGGUAGAGAGAAAAUAAAGCAAGGAAACCAGUUAUAACACCCUGAUGUUCAGAAUCUUUCCAAAAGGAAAGAAAACCACCACCCCUGUUACACACAGACAU